CAACCUGCCCCUAACUAGGGAAUAACCCGUUGAAAAGCGGCCUAAGUCCCUAUGAUCUCAUCAGACGACAUCAGAUGAUGAGCAAAGGUUUACCGGUUAGGGAUGGGGAUGCGUCUGAUUAGGCAGUCGGCGGGGUAACGGCCCACCGAGCCGACGAUCAGUAGGGGUUCUGAGAGGAAGGUCCCCCACAUUGGAACUGAGACACGGCCCAAACUCCUACGGGAGGCAGCAGUGAGGAAUAUUGGUCAAUGGACGAGAGACUGAACCAGCCAAGUAGCGUGCAGGAAGACGGCCCUAUGGGUUGUAAACUGCUUUUAUGCGGGGGUAAAGUGAGUGACGUGUCAUUCAUUGCAAGUACCGCAAGAAUAAGGACCGGCUAAUUCCGUGCCAGCAGCCGCGGUAAUACGGAAGGUCCUGGUGUUAUCCGGAUUUAUUGGGUUUAAAGGGAGCGUAGGCCGUCAGGCAAGCGUGUUGUGAAAUGUCGUGGCUCAACCAUGGACUUGCAGCGCGAACUGCCCGACUUGAGUGCGCGGAAAGCAGGCGGAAUUUGUGGUGUAGCGGUGGAAUGCUUAGAUAUCACGAAGAACUCCGAUUG
rnacentral:rRNA from 1 species